rfam:Picea glauca, whole genome shotgun sequence.
GGGUGCGAUCAUACCAGAGUUAAUGCACCGGAUCCCAUCAGAACUCCGCAGUUAAGCGUCCUUGGGCUAGAGAAGUAUUGGGAUGGGUGACCUCCCGGGAAGUCCUGGUGUUGCACCCU